UACGUAGGGACCAAGCGUUGUUCGGAUUUACUGGGCGUAAAGGGCGCGUAGGCGGCAUGACAAGUCACUUGUGAAAUCUCCGGGCUUAACUCGGAACGGCCAAGUGAUACUGCAGUGCUAGAGUGUGGAAGGGGCAAUCGGAAUUCUUGGUGUAGCGGUGAAAUGCGUAGAUAUCAAGAGGAACACCUGAGGUGAAGACGGGUUGCUGGGCCAACACUGACGCUGAUGCGCGAAAGCCAGGGGAGCAAACGGG
rnacentral:rRNA from 1 species